rnacentral:ncRNA from 2 species
UGUUAUUCUAUAGAAGAAUUAUUUUUGUUCGGUAUGUAAGGGAAGAACAAGAUUUGCUUUUCGCCUGAUAUCGCAAGAAUAGUAAUAAUUUGUGCACAAGCACGUAGGAGGCAACAAUUAUGGAAAACGGUAAAGUGAAAUGGUUCAACGCAGAAAAAGGUUUCGGUUUCAUCGAAGUUGAAGGUGGAGACGACGUUUUCGUACACUUCUCAGCGAUCCAAGGCGAAGGUUUCAAAUCUCUUGACGAAGGUCAAGAAGUAUCUUUCGACAUCGAGCAAGGUGCUCGUGGACCACAAGCAGCUAACGUUGUAAAACUUUAAUUUUACAUUCCAGGAACAGGCUCCCUCGGGGCCUGUUCUUUUU